UACCCGCUGGUUUAAGCAUAUCACUGAGCGCAGGAGAAGAAACUAACCAGGAUUUCCCUAGUAACGGCGAGCGAACCGGAAAGAGCCCAGCUUGAAAAUCGUGGCGCCCCGGCGCCUCGAAUUGUAGUCUGGAGAAGGUCCCUCUGCGGCGCGCCGGACCCAAGUUCCCUGGAAAGGGACGCCAUCGAGGGUGAGAGCCCCGCUGAUUCCGGAGUGCGCCGCUCCACGAGGACCUGUCUGCGAGUCGGGCUGUUUGGGAAUGCAGCCCUAAGCGGGUGGUAAAUUCCAUCCAAGGCUAAAUAUUGGCAAGAGACCGAUAGCGAACAAGUACCGCGAGGGAAAGAUGAAAAGGACUUUGAAAAGAGAGUUAAAAAGUGCUUGAAAUUGCUGGGAGGGAAGCGAAUGGAAGCUGCGGGUGCGCCCCGGUUGGAUGUGGAACGGCUGUCAAAGGCUGGUCCGCCGCUCAACGCGGGGCGCUGGUCAGCGUGGGCCAUCGCGGCGGGACAAGAGCGGGGAUUCGCUUCCCGCCGAUGCCGCUGCGGUGGCCGAGGAACGAAGCGCGCGCUCUUCAUGGGCGUGGGACUUGUCCCAACUGCGCGCUCGGGACGCUGGCGUAUUGAGCUCUUCAUCCGACCCGUCUUGAAACACGGACCAAGGAGUCUAACAUGUAUGCGAGCCGGUGGGCGGCAAACCCAUUGAGGCGCAAGUAACCUGACAGGUGGGACCCCGACCGCAAGGGAGGGAGCACCAUCGACCGACCGUGAUCUUCUGUGAAGGGUUCGAGUGGUGAGC
rnacentral:rRNA from 1 species